rnacentral:rRNA from 1 species
AACGAACGCUGGCGGCAUGCCUAACACAUGCAAGUCGAGCGGAGAUGAGGUGCUUGCACCUUAUCUUAGCGGCGGAUGGGUGAGUAAUGCUUAGGAAUCUGCCUAUUAGUGGGGGACGACAUUCCGAAAGGAAUGCUAAUACCGCAUACGUCCUACGGGAGAAAGUGGGGGAUCUUCGGACCUCACGCUAUCAGAUGAGCCUAGGUCGGAUUAGCUAGUUGGUGAGGUAAAGGCUCACCAAGGCGACGAUCCGUAACUGGUCUGAGAGGAUGAUCAGUAACACUGGAACUGGGACACGGUCCAGACUCCUACGGGAGGCAGCAGUGGGGAAUAUUGGACAAUGGGCGAAAGCCUGAUCCAGCCAUGCCGCGUGUGUGAAGAAGGUCUUCGGAUUGUAAAGCACUUUAAGUUGGGAGGAAGGGCUGUAGGCUAAUAUCCUGCAGUUUUGACGUUACCGACAGAAUAAGCACCGGCUAACUUCGUGCCAGCCGCCGCGGUAACAC